CACGUAGGGCGCAAGCGUUGUCCGGAAUUAUUGGGCGUAAAGAGCUCGUAGGCGGUCCGUCACGUCCGCUGUGAAAACCCAGGGCUCAACCCUGGGCUUGCAGUGGAUACGGGCAGACUAGAGGUAGGUAGGGGAGAAUGGAAUUCCCGGUGUAGCGGUGAAAUGCGCAGAUAUCGGGGAGGAACACCGGUGGCGAAGGCGGUUCUCUGGGCCUUACCUGACGCUGAGGAGCGAAAGCGUGGGGAGCGAACAGG
rnacentral:rRNA from 1 species